UACGGAGGGUGCAAGCGUUAUCCGGAUUCACUGGGUUUAAAGGGUGCGUAGGUGGGUUGGUAAGUCCGUGGUGAAAUCCCCAAGCUUAACUUGGGAACUGCCGUGGAUACUGCUUGACUUGAGUUCGGGAGAGGGAAGCGGAAUUCCGGGUGUAGCGGUGAAAUGCGUAGAUAUCCGGAGGAACACCGGUGGCGAAGGCGGCUUCCUGGACCGACACUGACGCUGAGGCGCGAAAGCGUGGGGAGCAAACAGG
rnacentral:rRNA from 1 species